rnacentral:rRNA from 1 species
GACGAACGCUGGCGGCGUGCCUAAUACAUGCAAGUAGAACGCUGAAGGAGGAGCUUGCUUCUCUGGAUGAGUUGCGAACGGGUGAGUAACGCGUAGGUAACCUGCCUGGUAGCGGGGGAUAACUAUUGGAAACGAUAGCUAAUACCGCAUAAGAGUAGAUGUUGCAUGACAUUUGCUUAAAAGGUGCAAUUGCAUCACUACCAGAUGGACCUGCGUUGUAUUAGUUAGUUGGGGGGGUAACGGCUCACCAAGGCGACGAUACAGAGCCGACCGGAGAGGGGGGUCGGCCACACUGGGACUGUGACACGGCCCAGACUCCUACGGGAGGCAGCAGUAGGGCAUCGUCGGCAAUGGACGGAAGUCUGACCGAGCAACGCCGCGUGAGUGAAGAAGGUUGUCGGAUCGUAAAGCUCUGUUGUAAGAGAAGAACGAGUGUGAGAGUGGAAAGUUCACACUGUGACGGUAUCUUACCAGAAAGGGACGGCUAACUACGUG